rnacentral:lncRNA from 1 species
CUACACAAAAUGCAUUUAUUUAUUAGUGUUUGUCAUUUACUACAGCCAGUCCUUCAGCAAAGAGUGUGUAUACAUAUGGUACUAAAAUAUUCUAAUCUUCUCAUUUGUUAGUCACUGUUAGAUUUUUUUUUUUGUUAUUGGCAGUAUGUGUGUGUGUGUGUUUGCAUGUGGAGUAUUUCAAAAUUCUUUGCAUUUGCUGCGCCUAGUCAUGCAUUUUGUCCACUGAACAUUUAUUUGGUACCUACAAAAUGCCAGACAUGUGUGAAGUAAAUGGAAGACACAGAUUAUUAAGAUAUGGCCUCCUGGAGGAGAGUUUAGCAGUAUUUAUCAAAAAACACAGGAGUUUCCAUCGUGGCGCAGCCAAAACAAAUCCGACUAGGAACCAUGAGGUCCCUGGUUCUAUCCCUGGUCUCACUCAUUGGGUUAAGGACCCGGCAUUGCCAUGAGCUAUGGUGUAGGUCCAAGACAUGGCUUGGAUCCUGCAUUGCUAUGGCUGUGGCGUAGGCCGGCAGCUGUAGCUCCGAUUGGACCCCUAGCCUGGGAAACUCCAUAUACUGUGAGUACAGCCCUAAAAAGCCAAAAAAAAAAAAGGGGGGGGUGGGCUAGGAUAUAGAAUUAUGUGGCAACUAUGGAGAAAUGUCUAUGAAAUUCCAAAUCCCAAAGCAAGGGGCAGAACAGGAAGUUAACAACCUGAGCUCAGAAUCAGCCUGCCUGGGUUCAAAUUCUGGCCUUGCCACUUAAAAACUGUCACCUGGUUUCUUCUUUUGUGACAUGGGGAAUAAAACUAACACCUAGGCUUGUUUUGUGAUUUAAUUGAGAACCUGUAUGAAAAGCACCUGACCCUUAGUAACCACUUAAUAAACAUUAGCCCUUUCCUUAGCAUCAUUAGGCUUGCAAAUAGGAAGUUCUGGAAAGAUAUACAACAGGCUGUUAAUAGUGGUCCCCUCUUAGAAGAGGAGUUGAUUGGAAACAGGGGCAGAUAGGGGAUUUUCACUUUUUAGCUUUCUGUUUGAAAAUAUUUCUACUAUGAGGCUCUACUACUUUUGUAAUUUAAAAACAUUCUUAAAAAAUACAAAAACAGAGUUCCCAUAGUGGCUCAGUGGGUUAUGAACUGGACUAGUAUCCAUGAAGACUCAGGCUUGAUCCCUGGCCUCACUCAGUGGGUUAAGGAUCCAGCACUACCGUGAGAUGUGGCUUGGAUCCCGAGUUGCUGUGGCUGUGGUGUAGGCCAGCGGCUGCAGCUCCAAUUUGACCCCUAGCCUGGGAACUUGCAUAAGCCAUGGUGCGGCCGUUUAAAAAAAAAAAAAAAGGAAUCUAUAGGAUAGAGAUGGAAGCAGACUCAUAGAAAGGCAGCAAUACAGGUAAACAAGAGAUUCUAGGGAAGCUUGAACAGGAUUUAAGCCAGGCCAGUGGAUAACCCAGAAUACAUUCUAUGAUCUGUUUUUAUUGCUCACAAUAGGCGAUGAAGAAACCAUAGAUAUAAAUACAUUGAUCUUUGGGUUCUUCCCCAAAUAACAUGAGAGAUAAGGAAGAACAAGAUAAGGUGAGUCGUGGACCACUAAUCUGAACUAUGCAAAUGCUUUAAUGCCUAAAGAAAAUUUCAAGACUUCUACUCUGGUUUGAAUAAGAUAGUGAUAGCCUAAGGUUUUCAACCAGUGAGAAAGCCCAGUAACUGGGAUUGUAUAGGUGUGCCCUGUGCAGGGGUACCUACACUAGGAGGGAAGUAGGUCCUGAGGUUCCAUCUGCCUGGAGGAAUGAAUGCCUUUUUCUAAUUCGCACAAAUGCAGCCAUAUGGAUGAACAGUGGUCCUGGCCUCUCUCCAAAAGAAACAUCUGAGCAUGAGAACCAGAGGUAGCUAUGUAAGAUCUCUUCCUACUUAGCGUGUCUAACACACAAGACAGUAGGGAUGAUAAGAAACACCAAAAUUUCAGAAAGGACCAUUUUUGCCUUCAGUGAGCUCAUUAAAAAAAGUUUGUGUCUAUUAUUGCACUAUAUGAAAGCAGAUAUAGAUGGAUUUACAUCAAAUUUGGAGGAAAAAAUUUGGGACAGUCUGGCUUAUAAUGCUACACUAUGUUCUCAAAACUGACUCUGGGGCAUAUUCAGGGAGAUCUCAAAGAGAUAAAGUUGAGUACAAUAAGGUGUCUGUAACUGCUGAAGGAGGAGUCUUGCCACAUUGUAUUAAGAAUUCAUGGGGAGUUCCCUCUGUGGUACAGUGGGUUUUGGUCUAAAGAUAAUGAAGGAAAGUGUGACAAUUCCUAGCAAAAUUUAAAUGGUCCUCACCCUUUGAUUCAAACAUUUUACUUCUAGGAAUUUAACCAACAGAUAUACUUAUGCACGAGCAAAAUGAUGAAAGACAGAGUCAUCCAUUGCAGUAUUUGCAUAUGUGCAAGAGGAAACCGUUGGACACAGCCUAUGUGUCCACCAGUAGAGGAUGGGCUAAAUAAAUCAUGACAUAGCCAUGCAAUGGCAAGCCAUAUAGCCUUAAAAAAAUGAGGAAAUGCUAUACACUGACAUGAAUCAAUAUCCAAGGUAUAUCAAUAAGGAGGAAAAAAAUAGUGCAGAAAUUAUCAAAACAUUGUAAAUCAACUAUAUUUCAAUAAAAUUUUUUAAAAUGAAAAAAAAAAAGUACGAAAAAAGAGUAUGGUGCAGAACAGGGCGUCAAAGUAUGCUAACACUUAGAGGGAGAAGAGAAAGAAGACAUGUGUUUGCUUGUAAAGGUGUGGAAGAUCCGAAGAAUAUGAUCUAGUAGGGAAGAGAAACAUGAAUCAAACAAGCAUUGAGUAGUUAUCUGUAAUAAACGCUAAGAAGGAAAAAUGUGACCUAGUGAGAAGGAUAUGAUCUACCCAGGAGGUCAAGGUAGGCUUCAAGGAGGAAGUGACAAUUAAGUUGAGAUUUGAAGACUCUAAGUGUUAAUAGUGAAGAUUGUUUAUCAAGCCCUAUCAUGUAUCUGUCAUUGUGCUUGAUGUAUCAAUGCAUGACCGCCCCCAGCAACAGUUCUUAGAGGGAUCUCCUAUUGUUAUCACUCAUAUUUUACAGAUGCAGAAACUGAAGCUCAGAAAGGUGAAAUGACAUGCUCAAGGUCACACAGCAAGGAAGUCAUGGGACCAGUAUUCAAUCAAACAUGGGCAACCAGACUGAUACAGAAAUUUAGGCAUCCUUGGAGUUCCCACUGUGGUGCAGCAGGUUAAGGAUCCAGGGUUGUCUCUGUGGCAGCUCGGGUUGCUGUGGAGGCAUGGGUUCUAUCCCCAACCCAGCACAGUGGGUUAAAGGAUUGGCUUUGCCACAGCUGUGGCAUAGGUUGCAGCUGCAGCUCAGAUUCAGUCCCUGGCCUGGGAACUUCCAUAUUCCGAGUGCAGCCAAAAAAAAAAGAAAAAAAAAUUGGCAUUAUGGACAGACCACUGGGUAAUUUUCAAUGGAUAACAGAUCAUGUGGGACAGGCCAGUGGGUCAGGCAGAUCAAGAUUUUAAAUAUAAUAUUGCAAUUGUCAUUCACUGAGGGAGACCAAACUAGGUACUGUCUCGUCUUUUAACAUCUUUUGACUUUUAUAACUGUGGAGCCAUUUUUCUCACUGUUACCAAAAUCAUUAAUAUCUGAGAGUUGGAAGGUAUAAAUUGCUAAAUCAAAAGGUGGAUCAAUUAUUAAACAGUGAAUAAGUAUAACACCUAGUGAUGGUGAUCAAAGUAGGCAAGGCUCCAGCAACCCCUAGGUGGCAAUAAAAAGCAAUGGAAAUCCCACAGUCUUCCAAAAAUUGUCCGUAUUUUUUUGAAUUUUUUGCUUUUUAGGGCCGCACCCGCAGGCUGUGGAGUUUCCCAGGCUAGGGAUCCGAUCAGAGCUGUAGCUGCUGGCCUAUGCCACAGCAAAGCAGGAUCUGAGCUGCCUCUGCGACCUAAACCACAGCUCAUGGCAAUACCAGAUCCUUAACCCACUGAAUGAGGCCGGGGAUUGAACCCACAACCUCAUGGUUCCUCCCACAACCUCGUUUCCGCUGCGCCACUACAGGAAUUCCUGUCUGUAUUAUUUUUGUUUUGUUUUGUUUCGUUUUAUGGCUACACCUGUGGCAUAUGGAAGUUCCUGGGCCAUCUGAGCCUGAGGCAACACUGCGUCCUUCAACCCACUGCACCAGGUGGGAGAUCAAAACUGCACCUCUGCAGCGACCUGAGCUGCUGCAGUAGGAUUCUUAACCUAUUGCACCACAGUGGGAACACCUAAAUGUCUGUAUUUUUAAGUAUGAAUGAACAUGGUAAAAACUUCAAGUAGUACAGGAGGUAUUAAUAAAAAACAAAAGUCCCCCUCACACCUUCCCUUAGACCCCUAUUUCUUUUCUCCUGAAAUACCUGUUGAUAAUUUCUUGUAUACUUUUUGAGAACAUUUUUUUUCAUAAUUGUAUAGCUUUUUGGUCCAGAAAAAGUAUGUGCUUAUCUCUCUCCUUUAAAAAACUGACAUAGUUGGGUAAACUUUUUACCCCUGAAUCUGUUUUUCCAUGUCAGAACGUACUGACCUCUCUCAUUGUUUAAAUGGGUGCACAUUCCAUAUACAAUAAUAAUAGUUUACAUUUGCAGAGUGUUUACUGUAUACCCGGCACUGUCCUGAGCAAGGUCCUUGUUUUAACCCAUUUAAUCCUCACAAAGGCCUAGGAGGUACAUUCUAUUAUUAUGCCCACUUUAUGUAGGAGAAAACUAAGGCACGCAAGUGGAUAAGUAAUUUGCCCAAUGUCAUGAAGCUAGUAAGUGGAGGAGCCAGGCUUUAGAUGCAGGAAAUUUGACUCCCCAAGUCAAAUUAAGGACCAUGCUUAACUGUAGUAUCAAUGGACCAUAAUUGUCUUAAUCUUUAUUUUCUCAAGAUUCUUUUAAAAUUUACAUAUUUUUGAAAAUUGUGUUAAAAUAUACUAUUGUAAAAUGUACCUGGGGAUUUUGGCUUUAUUUGUGUAUGGUGAAGAUGAUUGCCCCUGGAAAGAUUAUUACUUUCAGUUCUCCAGUUGGGGGCAUGCCAUGCCAUCCACGGCCACAAGAGGGACCCUGAGGUUGGUCACAGGCAGAGACAGUGAGGGGAAAGCUUGUGCAGAAAGUCCUUGUGAUUCCUGAGAAAGAAUGGAUGAGGCAAGGUAAGCAGCUGAUUGUUUGAAUAAAAAUUCCAAUUAUUAGUAUUAGUAUGUUUUCCUUUGACUUUAUACUGACUAGGGUUUCUGGAGCUUCUUGAACUGAUGUUUUUAAUAAAAUUUGGAAAAAUUUAAGUCACUGUUUUCUUUUUUAGGGCCUCACCUGUGGCAUAAGGAGUUCCCAGGCUAGGAGUCCAAUUGGAGCUGUAGCCACUAGCUUACACCACAGUCACAGCAAUGCCAGGUCCAAGCUGCAUCUGUGACAUACACCACAUCUCACAGCAACACUGGAUCCUUUAACCCACUGAGUGAGACUAGGGAUCAAACCUGCAUCCUCAUGGAUACUAAUCAGUUUUCCACUGAACUAUGAAGGAACUCCCACUAUUUCUUUAAAAACUUAAAAAAUAAUCCAUUACUCUUGCUUUCAUCUCUUAUUUUAGGAAUCCAAUUAUGUAUAUGACAGAAUGUGUGAUAUCCCCUACAAGUGUAUUUUGUUUUUGUUUUUCCUGCUCUACUUCAGUUUGAAUAAUUUUUAUAGAACUGUUUUCAGGUUUACUGAUCCUUUCUUCUGCAUUGUCCAAUAUGCUGUCCAAAAUACUCAAAAUUUUUUUCUAGAAUUUAUCAUUUUCUGUUCUAGGUUUUCUAGUUUUUCUUAAUUUUCAUGUCUUUUCUGAAGUGCUCCAUCUCUUCACUCAUAUUAAUCUUUUCUUCUAGAUUCUUUAACAUCACCACUACUUUAAAGUGUUUGCCUACUUCUUUCAAUGCCUGUAUUAUCUCUGGGUCUGUUUCUAUUAACUGUUUUUCUCUUGAUGAUCACUACUGCUUCUUCAUAUGUUUAGUGAUUUUUAUUUUACACUGGACAUGGUGUGUGCUAUAUUGCAAAGACUUGGAUUCUAUUAUCUUCCUCAGAAGUGUUGAGUUUUGUUUCACAUGGCAGUUAAACUACUGAUGACUCAUCUUUAACAUGUGGAGGCAUAGUUUUAGGCUACUUUGAGAUCAGUCCACUUUGGUUCUCCACCUUCUAGAAUUUAGUCCUUGAAAGUGGUCUUUACUGCUAAUAUGUGACUCUUCUGGAGUUUCAGCAGAAAGACUGAGGGGUUAUCAAUCUCCUCUAAUUUGGAGGAAUUUGAACUCCAAACUCUCCUCAGCACUGAGCAGCUCAGUUCUUUAAGCUUCCAGGCUUUUUUUCCCUUGGGCUCCACAUAUGCUGUU